rnacentral:rRNA from 1 species
CAGUCGCCGCGGUAAUACGAAGGGUGCAAGCGUUACUCGGAAUUACUGGGCGUAAAGCGUGCGUAGGUGGUGGUUUAAGUCCGUUGUGAAAGCCCUGGGCUCAACCUGGGAAUUGCAGUGGAUACUGGAUCACUAGAGUGUGGUAGAGGAUAGUGGAAUUUCCGGUGUAGCAGUGAAAUGCGUAGAGAUCGGAAGGAACAUCUGUGGCGAAGGCGACUAUCUGGGCCAACACUGACACUGAGGCACGAAAGCGUGGGGAGCAAACAGGAUUAGAUACCCCGGUAGUCCCUGUCUCUUAUAA